GGGUUAGUCGGUCCCUAAGGCGAGGCUGAAAAGCGUAGUCGUUGGAAAACAGGUUACUAUUCCUGUACUUCCGGUUAUUGACUUCGAGGUAUUGAGCAAUCAAUGCCUGCUUCGCAAUGGCUGUCC
rnacentral:rRNA from 1 species